rnacentral:rRNA from 1 species
AGGACGAACGCUGGCGGCGCGCUUAACACAUGCAAGUCGAGCGAGAACCAGACCUUCGGGUCUGGGGACAGCGGCGAACGGGUGAGUAACACGUGAGUAAUCCACCCUUGGCACCGGAAUAGCCCGGGGAAACCCGGAUUAAUGCCGGAUGGCCCGACAGCCUAUUGGGGCGGUCGGAAAAGAUAGCUUCGGCCUUCGGCCAAGGACGAGCUCGCGGCGGAUUAGCUUGUUGGCGGGGUAAAGGCCCACCAAGGCGACGAUCCGUAGCUGGUCUGAGAGGACGAUCAGCCACACUGGGACUGAGACACGGCCCAGACUCCUACGGGAGGCAGCAGUGGGGAAUCUUGCGCAAUGGGCGAAAGCCUGACGCAGCGACGCCGCGUGAGGGAAGAAGGCCUUCGGGUUGUAAACCUCUUUCAGGAGGGACGAAGCCACUCGGGUUAAUAGCCCAGAGGGUGACGGUACCUCCGAGAAGAAGCCCGGCUAACUACGUGCCAGCAGCCGCGU